rnacentral:rRNA from 1 species
GCAUAAUAAAUAGUUUUUUAAUUGGAAACUUGAAUGAAAGGUAUUUACUAAAGGGGAGGUUUUAUUUAAUUAAUUUGAAUUUAAAUUAAAAUUAAAAAUGGUUUUAUAAAUUUUUGGGACAAGAAGACCCUAGAAGCUUGAAUUGAAAAGAAUUUUAGUUGGGGUAACAUUUGAAGAAAAAGAUUUUUGAAAAUGUAUUAAGGAUAAUUAAUAAGUUACUCUAGGGAUAACAGCGUCAUCUAAUUAACGAGUUCUUAUCAAUAAUUAGGUUUGCGACCUCGAUGUUGAAUUAAAU